AGUGGACGCUGGCGGUAGGCCUAACACAUGCAAGUCGAACGGCAGCACAGUAAGAGCUUGCUCUUACGGGUGGCGAGUGGCGGACGGGUGAGGAAUACAUCGGAAUCUACUUUUUCGUGGGGGAUAACGUAGGGAAACUUACGCUAAUACCGCAUACGACCUACGGGUGAAAGCAGGGGAUCUUCGGACCUUGCGCGAUUGAAUGAGCCGAUGUCGGAUUAGCUAGUUGGCGGGGUAAAGGCCCACCAAGGCGACGAUCCGUAGCUGGUCUGAGAGGAUGAUCAGCCACACUGGAACUGAGACACGGUCCAGACUCCUACGGGAGGCAGCAGUGGGGAAUAUUGGACAAUGGGCGCAAGCCUGAUCCAGCCAUACCGCGUGGGUGAAGAAGGCCUUCGGGUUGUAAAGCCCUUUUGUUGGGAAAGGAAAGCAGCAGGUUAAUACCCCGCUGUUCUGACGGUACCCAAAGAAUAAGCACCGGCUAACUUCGUG
rnacentral:rRNA from 1 species